rnacentral:lncRNA from 1 species
AAGAAAUGGAAGAAUGAUAAUUACUAGGUAAUAAAACUGUUGGUCUUCUGCUUACAGCUACCUGUACUGUGUGUAUUCAGGUGUGAAAGCUUCUUUAUUGAUCGGAAAUGAAAAUGAAAUUGAAAUAUUAAUGUUUUGCAAUGCAGUUUAUUUCCUUAAUGAUAAAAGCUUAAAAGUGGAUUCAGCUACAAAUGGGAAGUUAAAUCUGAUAUAUUGUGUAAAGAAAGUGCUAUCCUUUAUGCAUAUUAAGAACCACCCCAACAACUCUUUGGGGGAUCCAUUGAUGGCAUGUUGCAAGGUCAAAUUUCUAUCCCUAUCCAAUAUACCCUCAUUUUCCAGUGGCAGUCUAAAUGUUCCCAACCUUCAUCUGGAACAGCUUCUAUUACAGGACCUACCUAUCAUAUUUAUAAGUUAUCGUUGGUCAUCUCAACGAGAAUGAUUUUCUUGCUUGAGCAGCUAUGGCAAAAGUAACAAAAGCAAUAGAUGCUGAGAUGACCAAUGAUAAUCUGUUUAUCGCUAUUUUACGGCUUUGUUAAUUUCAUUGACAAUGGCAAGUGUGCCCUUAGUUUCUAUCUAUAAUUUUUCAUAUCACUCUACUGUGAAGAGAAAGCAAAUUGUCAGUCAGUAAAAUCAAAGGAAAAUUUCAUAAAAUAGUGAUAGUUACUGUAAAUUUGUUCUCAUCCUGAACAUGCAUGAACUAUUUGUUACUGGACAUUGAGCAAUCAACAAUCAUCAAUCAACUGUAAGAUUGAUAUUUGUAUUGUUUAAACACUUGUAAAGAAAUGUUUGGGUUUGUAUAAAUUACUUUACUUUACCUUUGUAGGUGAGAAAAACAGAUUUAGAGAUCAGGAUGGUUUCUUUAAUAAAAUCUUGUCUUUAAUUUCAAUAUUUGAACUAAAAUUAAAAUUCAACCAACAACUCAAAAUAAGCUUCGACUGAUUUGUGAAAAAUGAAAGCCAAAUACAGUGAAACCUGGGUAAACCGAACCCUGAUAAAACCGAAUUUCAGUUUAAACCGAACAAUUUUCAAAGUCCCACACAAUUUCCCUAUCAAUUUGCUUUAAUUUAACCUGAUAAUACAGAACCCUGUCAACACCGAAUUCCGAACGCUUUUUGAAGGCUCGUUAGUAAAUUUGUAUUUAAAAACUACCUGUCAAAAUCGGUCGAUAGCAAUCAAAACAAAAAAUAUUUUUAAUUACUUGCAUGAUUUAAUUAAAUAAACACAGGAUGACCCCGAGGGUAUUGAGGUUAAAUCAACUAAUGAGUUGUUAUUUCAAACUAAUUAGCAUGUUUGUGUCCAUGCAUUCAGUGAUCAAAUGAUUUUUUUGUGUGAAGAAACGUUAAACUGCCCCGAUCGCCGAAAAGGGCAAGAAAGGAACUUUCCCUGAGAUCAAUCAAGUGCACGUUACUCAACUAUCUCCGACGCAAAUAAUUACGGCCACAAAAUCGUAACUGCCAUUCUAUAGUUAAACUGUUUAAAUAAAUAAUAGUUUUAAAGCCAUUUACUGGAUUAAGAAGUCAUGCAACACAACAAUGUCAAUUGCUUUCGAAUCAUGUUUACGGGAUGUCGGAUUUCCUUUAGAAGCCCUAUAUAUAAUUCAGAUGCUUCUGUAGAUUUCCGUUAGCUAUUUAGCAACGAUAAAGUCCGAGAGUAAACUGGACACCUGCUGCUGUUUCAAUCAUCUUGUGGCGAAGUAUCAAUCAGCGGGGACCAGUUUAGUCUGAGAACUUGUGUGCACAGAUAAUUGAAAAUGACGACCUCAAUUCAACUUCGGAAUUGUCAUUUGACAGAGACUUGGAAUCUGAAUUGAUCAGUAAAUUAAGCAAAAUCGAUACAAUUCGGACAUCAUUGAACGAUUUAUAGUUUCACAACGACGGGCGUGUUUGACAGAGUGGCGUUUGAUUUAUAUAUAAAAAAAAUGUAGCAAUACGUAUGGGUCUAUCUUCAUCUACUUAUAUUUUUACAUUUAAAUCAAAAUCAACACAAAAAUAAAAUUAUGAUCUGUUGUGUUACCUAUUAUCCCUUGUCAGUAAGUGCCAAAAUUAUUUGAAUGUCGACUUCCGUUUACCUCUACAAUCCGAACACCUGUGAAAAAAGAACAAAACGGAAAGUCCUGUGGGUGUUCGGUUUGGACAGGUUUCACUGUAUAUGAUUAACUCUUAUUAAAAACAGUUUUAAUGAUUGUUAAAUUUGUUAUAUUACUUUUGCAGAUGAGUAAAUGUUUCAUCAGUGUAUAUCUAGUUAACGUGUUAUCAUGGUUAUGGCACAUUCAGUCAAGGGCACACAGCUAUUACAUGUGAAGGACCAAUAUCUAGCAGCUUAACAAGUCAUCUGAUGUCUCAUUGGAUAGAAAACUAGACUAAGAUGUCAUCUGUCAUUUCAUUGGUUACACAAUAUUCUUUUGUGAGUCAUCACAUAAGACAUCAAGGUUCUUCCAGAGAUAUAUCAAGCUACCAUGAAAACCAAUCCUGGCAUAGUGUUAGAUGUUAGGAGAGAAAUUUGUUCAUGUUUAAGUCACUUUAUCUACAGCCAAACAAAUGUUUCAUUAUGAAUGCUUGUUUUGGUCAACUUUUCUGUAAAAAAAAUUCUGCUACAUACUCGCAACUUCAAUCGACUUAUUAUUAUUAAUAGUAAGUCUUGGUUACAGAAACUAACCAGGCUAUCUAAACAAAGGUCAAACAGGGGACCAGAUGAACAAUAAAUUAUUCACCUGUGUCAUAGUAUUUAUAGAUUUAUUAGUUGUUCGAGUAUAUGACAUAUGUUAAAAUAACUUCUCCUGCUUUAAAAGGAACAACAUCAUCUUGAAAUAUAUUCAAAUCAUAUUAUGCCAAAGAACCAUAGUGUCUUUCUGGUCUAACAUGUGUUUGUUGGUUUCUGUCUCCUUGACAUUUACCCCACAUGUCCCUUUAAUCGUUUUCCAUAUAUUUGAAGUACUGUUUACCUUUUCAUUAAUUCAGAUUACAAUGUUAUUUACGUCUUUGGUAUUGCAUGUUUUUUAUAAAAACACAUCUACGCUUAAAUGCUGAAAUUUUAAUUAUAAACAGGAAACAAGGCAAGGUAUUGUGAUCACUUAAAGUAAUUACAUGUUAGGGGGUUUGAGCAGUCCUGAUGAAGGAAGGCAAAACCAAAAAAGUACUGCACAUGAAAUCUAUAAGAUAUUGUUUUCAUUUAAUUUAAUUAUCUUCAUGAUUUAGGUAGUCCAACAACAACUCAUUUAUUGUAUGAAAAUUGUGAGGACGAGGGCAUAGGGGAAUAAAAAACAAAUUGGGUAUAAAGCAAGUAUUUUUUUUAUAACAAUUUUUUGCUGUUUCAAAAUCUAAUGCAUUUUGGGUAAUAUUUUCAAAAAAGUGUGCACCAAAACGAUGCGAC